CUACUAUACAUUGAGCUGCCGUUCGCGCUUUAUGGCUACGUAUGGAUGUGUCUCCCGGAAUAUUGGUUUCGCAUUCUCGGUUCCCUUUGGCAGUGAGUGCAUGGAGCUGCAGGUGCUUUUUAUGAUUCUCUUCGCUUCAAGUUUCGCCUUGUUGGAAUCUAAGCUUCGUGACCAACGCCCACGAGCUUUCAGUAUUCGAAAGUUUUUAUCGACAGAAGAACACAUCUGGACAUACAGCUCAACAAAGCCGUCAACUCAUCGAUGUCAAGUGGACGAAAUUCUUGAUGUGAAAAAUACUUCAGUAUAUUUCAAGCGACAGUUUUAUGUCAACCUUCUAAAGACAAGGAGGAACAUUUUGGGAAAGUUCUAUCCACGCCGCAAGAAACACAUGGAGAUCGUUCUUCCAGGUCGCAAUUUCACUGUCCAAGAGGAUAUUCUUUACAACAGUAAAAACCUUGGAUGUGCGGUGAUUAUGAUUACGAAGAAAACGCAGAGUUUGUAUUCAUCUUAGCAAAACCAUCAUGUACAACCUGCGAGUAAAAAAUUCUACAAUAAUAGAUGGCCAUUUCACUGACUGUAAAGUGAAAUUCAGUAGUGCAGUCACCGAGGCCAUUGGUCCCCGUUAUGUUCUCAAUGUUUCAGUCUAAACAAAAUAUUAAAGACCUUCUGACGCCUGAUUUGAACAAAUCAUCUCUAGCACAGAAGCCCCAUACAUUAACCAUUACGCCACGGGUAACCAGUUCUGCUGUUUCGAGCAUAGCGCUUGGUGAUGCAUAACCGCUGAAGGAAUUGAAUACAAAUCGUGUCGCCUUUCUCUGAAUUUUUUCUACCUUUUUUAUGUUAAUAUCG